UGGGGAAUUUUGGACAAUGGGGGAAACCCUGAUCCAGCCAUCCCGCGUGUGCGAUGAAGGCCUUCGGGUUGUAAAGCACUUUUGGCAGGAAAGAAACGUCCUGGGUUAAUACCCCGUGAAACUGACGGUACCUGCAGAAUAAGCACCGGCUAACUAAGUGCCAGCAGCCGCGGUAAUACGUAGGGUGCAAGCGUUAAUCGGAAUUACUGGGCGUAAAGCGUGCGCAGGCGGUUCGGAAAGAAAGAUGUGAAAUCCCAGAGCUCAACUUUGGAACUGCAUUUUUAACUACCGGGCUAGAGUGUGUCAGAGGGAGGUGGAAUUCCGCGUGUAGCAGUGAAAUGCGUAGAUAUGCGGAGGAACACCGAUGGCGAAGGCAGCCUCCUGGGAUAACACUGACGCUCAUGCACGAAAGCGUGGGGAGCAAACAGG
rnacentral:rRNA from 1 species